rnacentral:rRNA from 1 species
CCUACGGGCGGCUGCAGUGGGGAAUAUUGGACAAUGGGCGAAAGCCUGAUCCAGCCAUGCCGCGUGUGUGAAGAAGGCCUUCGGGUUGUAAAGCACUUUCAGUGGGGAAGAAAGCCUUGGGGCUAAUACCCUCGAGGAAGGACAUCACCCACAGAAGAAGCACCGGCUAACUCCGUGCCAGCAGCCGCGGUAAUACGGAGGGUGCGAGCGUUAAUCGGAAUUACUGGGCGUAAAGCGCGCGUAGGCGGUCUGAUAAGCCGGUUGUGAAAGCCCCGGGCUCAACCUGGGAACGGCAUCCGGAACUGUCAGGCUAGAGUGCAGUAGAGGAAGGUAGAAUUCCCGGUGUAGCGGUGAAAUGCGUAGAGAUCUGGAGGAAUACCAGUGGCGAAGGCGGCCUUCUGGACUGACACUGACGCUGAGGUGCGAAAGCGUGGGUAGCAAACAGGAUUAGAUACCCGAGUAGUC